rfam:Oryza sativa (indica cultivar-group) chromosome 4, whole genome shotgun sequence.
AAACUUGAUGAUGAUGAUAUUGUUUCAUAUAUUCUUGGAGGACUUGACGCAGAUUAUAAUCCUCUGGUUGCCUCAGUCUCCUCCAAGGACUACAUAUCACUCAGUGAUCUAUAUGCCCAGCUACUCUCGUUUGAGG